rnacentral:rRNA from 1 species
AGCGAACGCUGGCGGCAGGCUUAACACAUGCAAGUCGAACGCCCCGCAAGGGGAGUGGCAGACGGGUGAGUAACACGUGGGAACGUACCCUUUGGUUCGGAAUAACUUGGGGAAACUCAAGCUAAUACCGGAUAAGCCCUUAUGGGGAAGGGUUUACUGCCGAAGGAUCGGCCCGCGUCUGAUUAGCUAGUUGGUGAGGUAAUGGCUCACCAAGGCGACGAUCAGUAGCUGGUCUGAGAGGAUGAUCAGCCACACUGGUACCGAGACACGGGCCAGACUCCUACGGGAGGCAGCAGUGGGGAAUAUUGGAAAAUGGGGGCAACCCUGAUCCAGCCAUGCCGCGUGAGUUAGGAAGGCCUUAGGGUUGUAAAGCUCUUUUACCCGGGACGAUAAUGACUGUACCGGGAGAAUAAGCCCCGGCUAACUUCGUGCCAGCCGCCGCGGUAA